GCACUGUUGGUGUAAUGGUAACAUCUAAGCUUCCCACCGAAUUAUGUUGAGUUUGCUUAGGCCCCGAGUUCGAUUCUCGGGCAGUGCA